GAUGAACGCUGGCGGCGUGCCUAAUACAUGCAAGUCGAGCGAACGGACGAGAAGCUUGCUUCUCUGAUGUUAGCGGCUGACGGGUUAGUAAUACGUUCAGAACCUAUCUAUAAGACUGGGAUAACUUCGGGAAACCGUAGCUCAUACCGGGUAUUAUUUUCAACCGCAUGGUUCGCGAGUGAUAGACUGUUUGGCUGUCUCUUAUAUAUCGAUCCCCGCUGCAUUAGCUAGUUGGUAAGGUAAGGGCUUACCAACGCAACGAUGCAUAGCCGACAUGAGAGGGAGAUCGACCACACUGGAAGUGAGACACGGUAGACACUCUUACGGGGGGAAGCAGUAGGGAAUCUUACGCAAUGGGGGAAAGCCUGACGGAGGAAAACGGCGUGAGUGAUGAAGGUGUUAGGAUCGUAGAGCGAUGUUAGUAGGAAAGAACAAAUGUGUAAGUAACUGUGCACAUAUUGACGGUACCUAAUCAGAAAGCCACGGCUAACUACGUG
rnacentral:rRNA from 1 species